rnacentral:misc_RNA from 1 species
UAAUCUCACCCACCGACUGAUUUGUCGGUGUGUUGUGGAAUUGGAUGCUGCCGUGUCAUAAUGGCUCAUCUUAAAUAUCUGAGUACAUCCUGGAUUGCGAUGUGUUCGGUGUGAUAAAUUUUCACCGGAAUCGACCUUGUCACACUCGCUCAACUAUGGCUCUGUGCUUCCAACAGUCCCAUUUGUGGACAACAUAUCUGACA